rnacentral:rRNA from 1 species
GUCGAGAAUCUUUCACAAUGGGGGCAACCCUGAUGGAGCGACGCCGCGUGGAGGAUAAGGUCUUCGGAUUGUAAACUCCUGUCAUGCGUGAACAAGGUUGCUUGGUUAAUACCUGGGCAGAUUGAUGGUAACGCAAGAGGAAGAGACGGCUAACUCUGUGCCAGCAGCCGCGGUAAUACAGAGGUCUCAAGCGUUGUUCGGAAUCACUGGGCGUAAAGGGUGCGUAGGUGGCGUGGUAAGUCAGAUGUGAAAGCCCGGGGCUCAACCUCGGAACUGCAUCCGAUACUGCCAUGCUAGAGUACUGGAGAGGUGACUAGAAUUCUCGGUGUAGCAGUGAAAUGCGUAGAUAUCGAGAGGAAUACCAAAGGCGUAGGCAGGUCACUGGACAGUUACUGACACUGAGGCACGAAGGCCAGGGGAGCGAACGGGAUUAGAAACCCGAGUAGUCC